GGCGAGGUAGCUCAAAGGUGGAGCAGGGGACUCAUAAGCCCUUGGAUGUGGGUUCAAAUCCCACCCUCGCCACUA
rnacentral:tRNA from 1 species